rnacentral:lncRNA from 1 species
UUCCGUCCAGGAUACACAUUACACUUAGUUCUUGUCACUCUUUAGGCUCCUGUUAUCUGUGACAUUUUCUUUGUUUUUGAUGACCCGAAAAGGUUUGAGGCAUAAUGGCCAGGUAUUUGGUAGAAUGCUCCUCUGUUUGAAUUUGUCUUGUUUUCCUCAUAAUUGGAUUGGGAUCAUGUGUUUUCGGAUGAAGACCACAGAGCACAACAUUCUGAAAUUUUUUGGUUAUUGUAAUGAUGUUGAUCGGGAGUUGAGAAAAUGCCUGAAGAAUGAGUACGUAGAAAACAGGACCAAGAGCAGGGAGCAUGGCAUUGCAAUGCGAAAGAAACUUUUUAAUCCUCCAGAGGAAUCCGAAAAAUAAAUUGUAUUUUCACUCGAUGCCUUGGCUGAGAGAAGACCUAAAGACUCUGGGUUGAUACCUGAAAGAAUCCUGUCUUAUUUGGUCUCCAUAAUCCUUUGAAUGGAAAGUGACCUGUGAGAGAUUGAACCAUGGAGAAAUAUGAAAACCCUGGAUUCUGAGUAUUUGUUGGGCAGGGCGUUUAGUACUGUCUCCCCUUUACCAGCAAACCUGACUUCACCAUGUUUAUUCCCUUUGCCUACAACCAGUUAAUAUCUGAGUAACUUAUCUCCUUCAAUAAAAUAAUUUAAAUAA